GAAGAAGCACAGUACGCAGCAGCCGAAGCGGGUAACAACAAGAGGAAGUACGAGGAUCAAACGACACCGCCGCCCGGCCCAAGGAGGCCCACUGGAUUUUCUGCCCCGAUCUCUUCCGUAUCUCCUCCUGAUGGUGCUGCUCCUCCUUCUUCUUACAAUAGCGUGCCGCCGCCUAUGGAUGAUUUUCAGUUGGCUAAGCAAAAGGCUCAGGAGAUUGCUGCUCGGCUGUUAAAUAGUGCUGAAGCUAAAAAGCCUAGAGUUGAUAAUAAUGGUUCUGGUGCUGGUGCCGGUGGAUUUGAUUCAUAUGAACGUAAGGGUAUACUUGUCUUUUUACUGUCAUUGAUUUUGUGUUUGGUUUGUGUGUUUUGUAAGAAGAUUUUUGCAGUGACAGAUAUUUUCUCUUACUGAAAUCGAAAAUGAAUUCAGUUUUCUACUGCUCAUUGUACUGUUAUCAUACGUUCUUACUACUGUUAUGAUUAGUUAGCAAGGUAGUAGGGUUUUAGAUUUAACCUCUUUGUUUAAGUGUAUAUUUCAAUAUGAUUAUUGAUUAUCAACUCUGUUAUCACUAGAGAAAAUACACAGGGAGGAAAUGUUUUUCUUACUGAAAUUAUUUUUCAUUGAAAAUAUAUAGGGGGAAAAGUAGUUUAGUGACUUUAUUACAAUAAAAUAAAAGUUGAGUGACCAUCCAUGAAAUUACUGUUUUGCUCAUUGUACUAUUAUCAUUUCUCACUUUAUACCCAACCAAACACAUGGACAACCAGUUUUAUGUGAAGCUGACUUUAAGAAAGUUCCAAAGACUGUUGAAGCUUGUGAUUUAAAACAAGUCUUAGGAAUCUGUGUGGCUAUAAAUCAUCCAUUAAGGGUAAACGGGGAAUUUUAAGGUUAGAUAGUUUUUAAUAAUAAAAAUCUAUCAUUCUUUUCAUGGAAAACAUAUUUGUCCAUACCAAAAUAGUGUUUUCUAGGUAGCAUGGCUUUUGCUUUAAUCUACUGGUUUUAGUGUAUAGUUUUAAUAUGUUUAUCGAUGAUUAGGUAGUCAGGUCUAUUAUAAGAUCUUGUAGAGUUGUUGGCUGUAAAUCAUCUAAAUGGGGUAUUUUGAAGUUAGAUUGUUUUCAAAUAUAAAAACUUGUCAUUCUCUUGGGGAUAGACCGAAAAGGGAAAAGUAUUCACAUAAAUUGGGACAGAGAGGUAUUUUUCAUGGAAAACAUAUUUGUCCAUACCAAAAUAGUGUUUUUUAUUGGCUACCACUGAUGUGAUUAGUUUUCUAGGUAGUAUGGCUUUUGUUUUAACCUACUGGUUUUAGUGUAUACUUUUAUAUGCUUAAUGAUGAUCAUGUUGAUAGAGUGUCAGGUCUAUUAUAAGAUCUUGUAGAGUUAGAUGUUUUGUGUUUUCUUGCGAGUGCAGACAAGCCGAUUGUUACUCCUUCGGUGACAAGUUCAUAUGGUUAUCCCGGGCAAAGCAAGAAGAUUGAAAUACCAAAUGGCAGAGUUGGCGUAAUUAUAGGCAAAGGUGGGGAGACUAUCAAGUAUCUUCAACUCCAGUCUGGUGCCAAGAUUCAGGUUACUAGAGACAUGGAUGCUGAUCCGAAUUCUCCAAAUAGAGCCGUUGAACUCAUGGGUACUCCAGACCAAAUAGCUAAAGCUGAGCAGUUAAUUACCGAGGUUCUUUCUGAGGUAGUACUAAUCUGUCUUACUAUACAGUGUCAAGUCUAGGAAUUCUUUUUGUUGAAUCAUAUCAAUUUUGCUCAUACUUUCGAAUAUUAUAUCUUCCCUCCUCGGUGUGUUACUUAUGCAUUAUGUAUUUGAAAUAGGCCGAUUCGGGUGGUUCUGGUCUAGUUAACCGAAGGUUACCUGGACAGCAAUCAGGAGGAGAACAAUUUUCGAUGAAAGUCCCUAACAACAAGGUGAGUUGUAGUGCUGUAGUUCGUUCAUCUUGCGGUCAGCUUUCUACUACUUGUCUCAUGUCCAUUUAUAUGUAUUUUAGGUUGGUCUUGUUAUUGGUAAAGGAGGUGAAACCAUAAAAAAUAUGCAAGCAAGAACUGGAGCUCGUAUUCAGGUAACUUUUAAUUGCUUUCCCAAAAUAGAUCUGCAGUUUUUGGUGGCAAUAGUGUUUUUUGUUGUAUGAAGAAUUCCAGUCCUUUGCUUUCUUAAAAAAGCAAUUAUUUGUCGAGAUUUUAGUUUAGCUUUCUUACCUUUCCUACCUUAUCACAGGUGAUUCCUUUGCACUUGCCUCCUGGUGAUACGUCACAAGAGAGGACCGUACAAAUUGAUGGGUCAAGUGAACAGAUUGAGGCUGCAAAGCAGCUGGUGUAUGAAGUGAUUAGUGAGGUAUGUGUAACUGGUUAAUAUUCUUCAGUUUCUAUUCUUUCCACUUAAUAUCGUGAGAAUAUGAUAGGCAGAUGACUUUGGCGUCAAGAUGAUACCUAACCUCCUUUUGAAUGUUAGAAGUAUUUAUGUUUGUAUAUUAUUUGGUGACAUAUAUCUGUAGUUUGUUAAUUAAUGUGUAUGUGGAUUUUGCAUUGUGGAAGAUACCGCACUUGAUUUCUUUAGUCUUCUAAGAGCUGCUUUUGUAGUUCUCUUGAUCCUGAGUUUUAAAAUUCUUCUAUCAACAUCUUGAAAAGGCAAUAUGGUAUUAAUUUUUUCAGCAGUGGUGGAUUUCCUGACACAUCAAAAUUACAGAUUGCGUUUGUUGCUAGAGCAUCAUGAAUAACCAAUUGAGUGAUCCUAAAUCCGAAUUUAUCAGGAUAGUCAUUAUUUUUGUCUAUAAGUUUCAUGUAUGUAUAUUGCUGUUAAUUACCUAUCCGUCCUUGUCUCGCUGGAAAUUCAUAGUGUUUGCAGAUAUCAUUUUGCCAAUCUUCUUUUUGGACUACAGCUUCAGUUAAUGGGAAUUGUAGUUCGUUUCCAAUGAUCCCUGGAUGAAGGAGAUUGGCUCUUGCUGUGCUUCAUUUUUGGAAGGAAGUACUCUUAUUCCUAACUGGACAUACGCUUUCUAGUUGCAAAUAGGUCCUUGAGAGUAUGUUACUCCACACUGAAAUAUAACCCCAUUACAUUAUGGAUGAAUAGUUUGUUAUCCACAGAAUAUAUCUGUAGUGUGACAGAGCACCAAUCUGUGUCUACAUUUUUUCCCAUUGGUUUAUUCUAAUUAGUUGGAUGUUGCUGGAGCAAGAGAAUGGCUUCUAUCCGAAGGCAAUAUCAGGUUUAAAAUGGCAUAUCGAAAACUAUAGUCAUGCCUCAAUGUCUAUUGAAUUAUUUCUCGCUGGACUUUAGAUAUUUGGCUUUUUUUGAGGCGCAGGUUUUGGAGAAGUCUUUUCCUUGAAGGUAACGAAGUCUGUAAAAAUUUCCCUAAUAUUGAGCGUCUAUUCUAAUCUCAGAUGUGCAACAACUCUCGGUCUGAAUUCUUAGUUAAUAUCAGGGGACAACAUAUAACUAUGCUGGUUAAUUUUGUAUCUGAUCACUGAUAUUAUUAUUGGAAAAUUUGUAGGCUUAGUAUUUAUCGGACAAUGGUGACACCAACAUGAAACCAUUUAGUGUUGGUGUUCCCUCAGCUUUGUUCUGGUAUGGUCUCCAACCUGAUUAUUGAUAACUUUAGUCAUAUUCUGGAGUAAAUGAGAGCCUGCUUUUGCUAGGAUGCAAGGGAGUAGACUAAGAUAUGUUGAGAUUAUCAUUAUAUCUUUUGGGUGUCUAACUUGAGAUAUUUUAUGAAUUUACCACAUAGAAGUGUUGCAAGAAACAGUAUUUGGUGUUAUUAUCUACUGUUUAUGUUGGUAUUCUGUCGGAGGAUAACUUUAUUGUGCCUUUAGAUUUCUAGUGCUUUGUUUGGUUUCUUUUGAAGAAAAAUCCAUCUAUUGUGUCAUUAUUGAUUAGCUGCUAGUAUCUGAUUUUGUUUGUUAUCUCCAUAAACCUUUGGCUAAUUAUUGGCUAUGAAGAUCAAACUCUCCGAGAUUAGGAGUGCUGAAAGGACUAUUAUCAUAUUAGAUCUGUGUGUUCCUUGAUUGCUAGCAGUACUAUUAGAUUCUGCUUUGUUGUCUCAGUAAGACAUGUCUUAUUGUUGAAAAAUGAGUGAACUGUUGCCCUACAUGUAUGAUGUAUCAUGUAGGGGUCUGUUUCCUGAUGGUGUUACGAAAUGACAUCAAUUGUCACUCCUUUUGGCUUUUUUUUUGUUUGUUUUUGGUGUACACUUUUUGUCACCUUUCUGUCUAUAUAUGUGAACCCAAUGCAAGGAGUGAGAGUUCGUCUUGGAACUGCAAGAUUUGGUGCUGCUGCUGUGUGAAAACACAUUUAUUCUUGAUAUUGUAGUUCAUGGCUUGUCUAAUUUGUGUAUCAUUUGAGGACUUAGUUAUUAAAAUGCAGUUGGUAUAUAAAUUUGGAUACUCCUUAUCAAUAUAAUAUAUAAUUUGAAUACUCUGCUGAUGACAUAAUGAACAGACUCAUCUUUUACUAUUGGCAAGUCACACAGGCUUUUAAUGCUGUCUUCAAAAAUAGUGGUAUCUUGCCAUCUUAAGUGUUAUUUUGCCUAGGCUUUUAAAAUGCUUUCUUCAAAAAUAGUGGUAUCUUGCCAUCUUAAGAGUUAUUUUCCCUACAUAUAGAAUGCGUAUACUUUUUUCUCUCUGCUUUGGUAUCCUUCACUUCAAAUAGGGUGAGGAUGGGCAUCUGCCAGGAGUUUGUACCUCCCAACCAGUAAGUCUACAUCUGUCUUGAUGCAUACAUAAUAUCAAUUGUUAAAUGUUUGUGGUAUUUGCUACUGUUUUAUCUGCUAUGUUUAUGCUACCCGGCUGUGAGUUACCUACUUACGUUAAUAUGCAAAUUAUCUUUAUAUUCCUAGAUCAAUCAUUCUUGGUUAAUUUAGACAGUAAUUCUUGUGCAGAAUCGUGCUAGGAAUCCAGGAAUGGGUGGAGGAUAUCAACAAGGUUAUCAGGCCCGACCUCCUACAAGCUGGGCCCCUCCUGGUGCCCCAAUGCAGCAACCUGGCUAUGGAUAUGUUCAGCCUGGCGCAUACCCUGGUCCAUCCCCCCAAUAUAACGCGUCUCAACAACCUUACCCUGGCUACCCUCCUCAACCUGCCUCUGCUGGAUAUGCCUCUGGCUGGGAUCAGACUACUGCCCAAAAUCAACAAUCUCAGGGAGGUGGUUAUGAUUACUACAAUCAGCAGGCCCCACCACCGCAGCAACAAACUCCUGGUGGCACAGCUGCUUCAACCGAUAAUAGUGCCUACGGUUACAACCAGCAAUCAGCCUCGGGUUACAGCCAAGGACAAGCUUAUUCUCAAGAUGGCUAUGGUGGAUAUCAUGCACCUGCACCUCAAUCUGGUUAUCAGGGCACUGGUUAUGAGCAGCAACAAGGUUAUAGCUCUGCAGCUGGUUAUGGGAAUGCCUCAAACCCAACAUCAGAUGGCCAGAAUUCUUCAUAUGGUACACAAGGCGAUGGCAGUCAAGCACCUCCACCAGUUCAGUCAUCAGCCACGGGUCAACAAGGUAAUUACCCAUCUCAGGGCUCUACUCAGGCAGGCUAUGGGAUGCCACCAACUUCUCAAGGUGGGUAUGGGACGCCACCACCUGCAGGCUAUGCUGCGAGCUAUGGGGCCCCACAGGCCCAAAAGCCUUCUCCUAGUCAGCCAGCUUAUGGUCAGCCACAGCAGUCUCCUAGCGCACAAGGAGGUUAUGCCCAGCCUCCCCCAGCACAGCCUGGAUAUCCACAGCCAGCUGCUCAAUCAGGUUAUGCGCAGCCUGAUUCUGGCACUCAGCGACCUCCUGCUUCUGGCUAUGGUGCUCCAACAGCUCAGCCUGGUUAUGGUGCCCCACCUUAUGGGGCUCCACCUAGUUAUGGCCAACAGCAGCCACCACCUUACAACAGUGCCUAUGCUGGUGGUUACGCCCAGCCUCCAGCGUAUGCUUCUGAUGGCACAACUCCAGCGUCCCAGUCUGUUCAGCCUAGUGGUGGGGUUGCAAAAGCAUCACCUCAAAGUUAAUGUGAGUCAACUUU
rnacentral:lncRNA from 1 species